GACGAACGCUGGCGGCGUGCUUAACACAUGCAAGUCGAACGGAAAGGCCCUGCUUUUGUGGGGUGCUCGAGUGGAGAAAGGGUGAGUAUCACGUGAGUAGCCUGCCCUUGACUUUGGGGUAACUUCAGGAAACUGGGGCUAAUACAGGAUAGGAGAUCCUGCUGCAUGGUGGGGGUUGGAAAGUUUCGGCGGUUGGGGAUGGACGCGCGGCUUAUCAGCUUGUUGGUGGGGUAGUGGCGUACCAAGGCUUCGACGGGUAGCCGGCCUGAGAGGGUGACCGGCCACAUUGGGACUGAGAUACGGCCCAGACGCCUACGGGAGGCAGCAGUGGAGAAUAGUGCACAAUGGGCGGAAGCCGGGUGCAGCAACGCCGCGUGCGGGAUGACGGCCUGCGGGGUGUAAACCGCUUUCGCCUGUGACGAAGCGUGAGUGACGGUAAUGGGUAAAGAAGCACCGGCUAACUACGUG
rnacentral:rRNA from 1 species